AAAAUAUUCUUUAUUCAUUUGCCAAGGAUAAUAUUAACAUAUAUAAAAAUGUAAAUGUAUCUCCUUUUAUUAUUAUAAUUAUAAAGGGAAAUAUAAAAAGUAAAAUUCAUUUCUAUAUAUAUUAUAAAUUAAUAAUAAAUAUUUAAAACAUCAAUGGUAAUAUAUAUAUAUAUAUACAAAAUAAACCUUACAAUAAUUGUCAUCAUUUGCAUAUUUUCUUUAAUUUACAUAUAACCAUUUUUAAUUAAAUAAAAACUUUCAUUUAUUUUCAAAUCUUCUUAUAAAUAUAUUAAAAUAUAUAUCCUUUUCUUUUGGAAAAAAGAAAUAAAAAUAUAGUAAUUCAUCAUUUAUAAAUAUGUUCCGAUGAAUAUUAUUACUAUAAAUAUUUUCUUUUUGAUGAUAUUAUUAAUAAAUAUUAUUUAUGGAGCCAAGGGAAAGAUAUCAAUUAUAACAUAUUUUUAUAUAUGAAAAUAAAACAUAUAUAUAUAUAUGCCAUCUAAAAAAUUGAAAACUAAAAAAAAAAAAAAAUAAAUAAAAAGGAAAAUACUCUUUAAAAUAGAAAUUUAUAAUAUUACAUAAUAACUAUUAUUUUCUUUUUUAACUAGUAAAAAUCGCUAUAAAAUAAAUUUUUGCAACAUAUAAAAAUAUGAUGAUUGAGAAUAUUUAAAAUAUAAUAUAUAUAAUAUAUAUAUUAUAUAAUAUUCUUACUUUUGAAUAAAUUAUUUUUUUUUUCCUUAAGAAAUAAAAAAAAAAAAAUUAAAGU
rnacentral:sRNA from 1 species